rnacentral:rRNA from 1 species
UACGAAGGGGGCUAGCGUUGCUCGGAAUCACUGGGCGUAAAGGGUGCGUAGGCGGGUCUUUAAGUCAGAGGUGAAAUCCUGGAGCUCAACUCCAGAACUGCCUUUGAUACUGAGGAUCUCGAGUUCGGGAGAGGUGAGUGGAACUGCGAGUGUAGAGGUGAAAUUCGUAGAUAUUCGCAGGAACACCAGUGGCGAAGGCGGCUCACUGGCCCGAUACUGACGCUGAGGCACGAAAGCGUGGGGAGCAAACAGG